rnacentral:rRNA from 1 species
UAAACUAGGAUUAGAUACCCUAUUAUUUUAAAUGUAAAUUUUUUUAUAUUAAAUUAGUAAUAGUUAAGUUCUUGAAAUUUAAAAGUUUUGGCGGUAUUUUAAUCUUUUCAGAGGAACCUGUUCUGUAAUUGAUAUUUCACGAUAGGUUUUACUUUUUUAAUUAAUUUGUAUAUCGUUGUUUAAGAAAAAAUUUUUUUAGGAUAAUAAUUUUUUUAAUUUAUAAUGUUUAAAUAAAUCAGAUCAAGACAUAGUUUAUAAAGGAGGAGAAAUGGGUUACAAUAAUUUUAUUUAAAUGGAUAUAAGAAUUAAUUUUUUAUUGAAGGUGGAUUUGAAAGUAAUUUUAUUUAUUAAGUAGAAUGAUUUAAGUUUUGAAAUAUGCACAUAUCGCCCGUCGCUCUUUCUUUAAAGAAAGAUAAGUCGUAACAUAGUAGAUGUACUGGAAAGUGUAUCUAGAAAGCAAUUUAGAGCUUGUUUAUAAAGUAUUUCGUUUACAUUGAAAAGUUGUUGUGAAAAUCAAUAUAAUGAAUUUAAUUGAUUAUUAAUUUUUUAUGUUUAUUUUUUAAAAAUUUAGGAAUUAAGAUUUUUAUUAAUGUUUUAUUAUUUUAAUUAUAAAUAAUUUAUUUUAUAAUAGUUUAUUUUUAUUGAGAAAGAUUUUUGUAUAGAUAUUAAAUUUUUUAAAGUAGAUUUUAUUUAUUGUACCUUGUGUAUCAGGGUUUAUUAAUUAAUUAUUAUUUAUUUAAUUUUCUCGAAACAGAAAGAUUUAUUAGAAUGUUAUUUUUAUUGUUAUAUAAAUAUUAUUAACUUUUUAAUGGAAAUUAUAAGUUUUUCGUUUUCUGUAUAUCUAGUUUAUUUAGAAACGAAUUUAAUUCGAUUGUAUAAUAUAAAUUUUUUAAAUUUUUAAUUGAUUUAUUUUUACAUUAUAUAUUUUAGGGGAUUAGCUUUUAAAUAUAAUUUUAUAAAUUUUGGGUUUUUAUUAAAUUUGUAAGUUUGAGAUUAUUUAUUAUUUAAAAAAUGUUAUAAUUGAUUUAAUUUAAGAUAUUAUUUAUUUUAUUUUAGGGGUUUAUAAAUAUUAUUGUUUUAAUUUUUUAGGUUUUGUAAUAAUGAUUGAAUUAGUAUAUUUUUUGUAUUUGUUUUUUUUAUUUUUAUUAUUUAAUAUAAGGAAUUCGGCAAAUAUUUUUUUUUCGAAUGUUUAUCAAAAACAUUUCUUUUUGAUAAUAAUAUAAAGUUUAACCUGCUCAAUGAAUAUUUAAAUAGCUGCGGUAUUUUGACCGUACAAAGGUAGCAUAAUAAUUAGUUUUUUAAUUGAAAGCUAGAAUGAAUGGUUUAACGAGAAAAAUACUGUCUUAUUUUAAUAAUUAGAAUUUAAUUUUUUAGUUAAAAGGCUAAGAUUUUUUUAAAAGACGAGAAGACCCUAUAGAUCUUUAUAUUUUAUAAAUUAAAAAAUUUAUUGAAUAUUUUAUUUUUUAAUGAGUUAAUUAUUUUAUUGGGGUGAUAUAAAGAUUUACUUAACUCUUUAAAUUUAUAUUAAUUAUUUUUAUUAUUUUUUUUGAUCCUUUAUUAAUGAUUAUAAGACUAAGUUACCUUAGGGAUAACAGCGUAAUUCCUUUAGAGAGUUCUUAUUAAUAAAGGAGAUUGCGACCUCGAUGUUGGAUUAAGAAUUAAUUUUGGUGCAAAAGUUAAAAUUUUAGGUCUGUUCGACCUUUAAAUUCUUACAUGAUCUGAGUUCAAAACCGGAGA